ACUUUAAUAAAGGGAGAGCAGGAGAGUGGUGACGAAUUUCCACAUUCCGAACAAGCUUGUCGAAAGGGGAGUGCAGGGAAGGAGCAAGAAUGAGGCACUGGAAGACGGCUGUAGGCGCAUGAUGUCACAAGUUAUUGGAAGAAAUCCCUCCAACCUAGGUUGGGACAGAUGAAGGCGGCGCUUAUUGGUGUUCACCAAAACACCAGCAUGGUGUACCAGCUUUGGCUAGAUGAUGCUCAGAUAAAUACCUGGAGUGGGAUUGCUAGAUCACAUGGAAAACACAGAUCCUGGUGCCGAACAUGAGGACAGGACAGGCUGAAGGAGAAAGUGGAAGGAGGGGAGCUUCUCUCUCAGCCUCAUCCUCCUGGGCCUGGAUGCUGGAGAGUCAUGAGGUGCUUCAGAGUACUCUGGGUGAGGAGGGAAAGAUGGUGCCCACCACAUGGAGGCCAGCCUAGGUCUUGUAUGAAACCCGUGAGGAGAUUCUCUCUCCCUUGCUGUCUUUGAAAAAGCAAGUUGCCAUGUGAAGAGGGCCAUAUAGCAUAGGAGCUGAAGGCAGCCUCCAACUGACGG
rnacentral:antisense_RNA from 1 species